rnacentral:rRNA from 1 species
CCUACGGGUGGCAGCAGUGGGGAAUAUUGCACAAUGGGGGAAACCCUGAUGCAGCAACGCCGCGUGGGUGAAGGAGCGUCUCGGCGCGGAAAGCUCCGUCAGUGGGGAAGUAGAAAGACGGUACCGGACCAAGAAGCACCGGCUAACUACGUGCCAGCAGCCGCGGUAAUACGGAGGGGCCGAGCGUUAUCCGGAAUUACUGGGUGUAAAGGGAGCGUAGACGGCGAGGUAAGCCUGAAGUGGAAGGCCGCGGCCCAACCGCGGAACUGCGUUGGGAACUGUUUUGCUGGAGUAUGGGUGGGGUAGGCGGAAUUCCUGGUGUAGCGGUGAAAUGCGUAGAUAUCAGGAAGAACACCGAUUGCGAAGGCAGCUUACUAAACCAUAACUGACGUUGAGGCUCGAAAGCGUGGGGAGCGAACAGGAUUAGAUACCCGAGUAGUC